rnacentral:rRNA from 1 species
CCUACGGGAGGCAGCAGUGGGGAAUUUUGCGCAAUGGGGUAAACCCUGACGCAGCGACGCCGCGUGGAGGAUGAAGGCCUUCGGGUUGUAAACUCCUUUUGUGGGGGACAAUGGUGAUGGUACCCUGCGAAUAAGCCACGGCUAACUCUGUGCCAGCAGCCGCGGUAAGACAGAGGUGGCGAGCGUUGUUCGGAAUUACUGGGCUUAAAGGGCGCGUAGGCGGUGGCGUAAGUCUGGGGUGGAAUUCCACGGCUUAACCGGGGGACUGCCUUGGAGACUGCUUUGCUUGAGUCAGUGAGGGGAGGGCGGAAUUCCCGGUGUAGCGGUGAAAUGCGUAGAUAUCGGGAGGAGGGCCGGUGGCGAGGGCGGCCCUCUGGCGCUUGACUGACGCUGAGGCGCGAAAGCGUGGGGAGCAAACAGGAUUAGAUCCCCCUGUAGU